CUGAGUUGUACUAAUUCACACACACACACACACACACACACACACACACACACACACACACACACACACACACAAUACAAAGGUCAGAAACAAGUAAAAUAUUUAACUGAAACUAAUUGAAAAUAUUUUUAAUACAAUAAAAUCUACAAGGAAUCAGCAGUUCAGAGAAAAAAUGAUGGAAAUGAGAGACUGUGUGUGUGUGUGUGUGUCUGUGUGUGUGUCUGUCUGUGUGUGUAUAUGUGUGUGUGUGUGUGUGUCUGUGUGUGUGUGUCUGUGUGUGUGUGUGUGUGUGUGUGUGUGUGUGUGUGUGUGUGUGUGUGUGUGUGUGUGGACAGAGAGAGAGCGAGAGAGAGAGAGAAAUAGAAAGCCAUGAACGACGUAUCAAAUGCGAUGGAAUGGUAUAACAAUAGUGGUGUGUGUGUGUGUGUGUGUGUGUGUGUGUGUGUGUGUGUGUAUUUGGGUUGGUGGACCCUCUCUGAAUCACGCUUACACACUUCACUCUGCAGCAGCGGUGGACACCAAACACACUUCAUCACUGGGCAGAAUCUCAGCAGUGACUCACUGAAGGUGGACUAGUCUCAUCACACACUCAUCUCUCAGCAGACAGGAACGAGCUAGAGGAGGGGAAACGCUGACGACGCUGACUGCAGCUAUUAUUGCUGAAUAACGUUUGAAGAUUACAGAGAAGAGUUACACACUUCAAACACAGACAGUGAGUGUGUGAGCUCUUAAUAUACUCACUGGGAUGGAGCUACACACACAUGCACAUACACACACACAUACACAUACAUGCCAUUCACAUGGCAUUAUAUGGGACCAUGCAUAGCACAAGUUACUAAAUUAUCAUGAUGCUGUUCUUAAAAAAAUACAAAUUAAUAGAAUGUUAAUAUCUGCAAAAUAAUUGUCUUUAUGCCACAUUUCCAAACACAAAGGCAGACUAUUUUCUAAAUAAAAUGCAAGGCAGUCACCUACUUAAUUUUUCAUGAAUGAAGAGCAAAAAUGUUAUAACAUUUACUGCUAAAUUAUCUACAAUAAGAAUAUCCUGAAUAUCGCUAUUGUACAACCGAUUAUCAGCCCACUCCCAAUCCUGAGCCACUUCCCUUUUAGAGACAUAAAACAAAAAGUGCUGUGUCGCCUUAUAGCCACAAUUUCCGUCACUUCACUUCAACAGAAUCACACAAAGCAUUUUCAAAAAUAAUAUUAAAAAUGAUAGUUGUUAUAUUAUGAAUCAAUUGUGACGCUACAAUAGAUUUCAAUUCCUUCUAAUAAAUAAAUCUGUAGAUUUACCCAAAACAAAAAAAAACAAUGCCCCCUAUUUUCCCUAAAAAUACAAAAAUGUUAUAAUAUUCACUACUAAAUUAUCUACUAUAACAAUAUUGUGAAUAUCGGGAUAUAUUGUAUAACCUGUAAUUGGCCCAAAACCAAUCUAGUACAACUUCCUUUUUAGAUGCAUAAAUACAAAAUAAGAGCCAUGUCACAUUAUAACUACAAAAUUUCCUUCACUUCACUUCAACACUAACACACACAAAAUGUCUGUAAUUCAGUGACAGCUUUAAAGCCUUGCUAUAAUAUGUGUAGAUUUCUGUCAAAAUGUCAUUUUGUCAAAAGGGGAGAAAAGAAAGCAUAUGUGUGUAUGUUUCGGUGCAAACACAGCAGCAGGGUGUAUGUGUAUGUGUGUGUGAAACUGUAGCCAGCUAAAAUAAGGCCUUUUUUGGGGCUCAGAGAUAAGAGAUGGAAAUUGCCACUGGAGAAAAUGAGGGUUAUUCAGCACUCCGAUAAGCACCUAUUUGCUUUUGGUCAUAAUGCCUUCUCACACUUUAUAAAUCAUCAUUUAAUUACGCAGACGAGCGGCUGAUUGUCGGCCUGGCUGGCCCGCCGGCGCACAGCCACGCACAAAGAGGGAAAUUAUACGUGUCCUUGGCAUUUCAAUCAUCAUCACUAAUGCAUUAGCGUUCAAUUACAUCAGACACUUUCAGCAAGUGCAAAAAAAUCUAAAGACAAAAAAAGGGAGUGAAGAGGGAAAAGAGGAUGGGGAGAAAAAUUUACGUUGUUUAUAAUAUAACGCGUAUAUUUUUGUCCCCCUCCUCGUUUCCCUGUAUAUAACUGAGGAGCUAUAAUUUACUAAAUAAAUCAUUAUCAAAAGAUACAUGUAUUUAAAAUAUUCUCUAUUUUGAUUUUUUUAAUCAUAUAAUGAUUAUAGAAUAAUAUCAUUAUUAUAUUAUAUAGUGAUAUAAG
ensembl:lncRNA